AUUGAACGCUGGCGGCAGGCCUAACACAUGCAAGUCGAGCGGAUGAAGGGGGCUUGCUCCUGGAUUCAGCGGCGGACGGGUGAGUAAUGCGCAGGAAUCUACCUCGUAGUGGGGGAUAACGUCUCGAAAGGGGCGCUAAUACCGCAUACGUUCUGAGGAAGAAAGCAGGGGGACCUUCGGGCCUUGCGCUAUGAGAUGAGCUUGCGUCCGAUUAGCUAGUUGGUGGGGUAAAGGCCUACCAAGGCGACGAUCGGUAACUGGUCUGAGAGGAUGAUCAGUCACACUGGAACUGAGACACGGUCCAGACUCCUACGGGAGGCAGCAGUGGGGAAUAUUGGACAAUGGGGGCAACCCUGAUCCAGCCAUGCCGCGUGUGUGAAGAAAGCCUUCGGGUUGUAAACUGCUUUUGUACGGAACGAAACGGUUCUUUCUAAUACAGAGAGCUAAUGACGGUACCGUAAGAAUAAGCACCGGCUAACUACGUGCCAGCAGCCGCGGUAAAG
rnacentral:rRNA from 1 species